rnacentral:lncRNA from 1 species
AAAAGCCGAGGUGCAGAGAUGGAAAGUUCAGUUCAAGGCCGGUAUCAGAACUGUGAGCAAACCAGUUGUCUUUCUAACGGGGGAAGGAAAAUGACAGCUGCCAUUUAUUGAACAUUCACUAUGUGGCAAGCAUUGUGCUAAAUUUGAUACUCCGGCGACCUCUUUUAGUCUCCAUGACAACCCUGUAAAGACAUUUAGAAUUUAGAACCUUUCAUACAGUUCCAUGACUAAAACGUAGCACACCUGGCAUUCCAACCCUUCAUUUCAUUCUACUCUAGCACUAAAGCUAGAAGGGAAGCUUGAGGCCACAUUGUGGAGUGCCAAGAGGUUUGAACUUUUGCCUGGUUUGAACUUUUACCUUCUUAAUCUUUUCCCCGCAUCCCCACAUUUGAGGACAGGACACCUCCAGGAACUGCAGCUCAGCAACAGGGGUUCAGCGUGAGCGCGGCCUGGGGAGGGUCAUCGCCUUUUUGGGGAGUGUGGGGAGAAACGCGGCUCGCCUUGUCGUGGCUGGCGAUACGCCUCUGCAGGAAGGGUGUGUCUCCCCGCUUGAGGAUUCUCCCUAUAGAUAAAGAGGAGACUCAGCAGAGCCUUAAUUAGAGAUCACAGAGGACUGACAACGAGCGUCCGGAAGACGAAUUGGCAGCGAGGUGCAUGGAUUCGAUACAGAAGCUGGAGAUAGAGUCCAGCUAACAGACCACUGCAGUUCGACGGAGCCAGAUCCCAGGUCUGAAAUGGAAAGAGAUGUUACCCUAGAUGCCCGGAGACAGCGGGGCCGCAGAGACCUCGCACAGCCGAAUAGCAGUGGAGCAGGGAAGGAAGAGCUGAAGGACCCUGGGGAUGAUUGAACAUAGCCUCUCACCAGCGCGCUCAGGAAUUGUCCUGAGAGCAGCAGGAGGAGUGGUAAUCCUGCAAGAGAAGGUGGCUUUGUUGAGAGCCUUUAAAUUCAGCUUUAUUACUCGCCAGUCUCCUUCCUUGUGUUCUGGCCAUAUUUCUUAUCCAUUAGGCAGCCAGCCCUUCACAUGAGAUCCUCCUGGUUUUGCAUUCUUUUCUGCAAUGCUGACACUUCCUUCUAGUUACACCCUUUGGCACUCUAAUCUGUGGUCUUAGUUUUAGUCACUGAUGAAGAUAUUUGGCACAUUAACUCUUAUUUCAGUUAACACCAGAUGAAGUGAAC